CGGACGGGUGAGUAAUGUCUGGGAAACUGCCCGAUGGAGGGGGAUAACUACUGGAAACGGUAGCUAAUACCGCAUAACGUCGCAAGACCAAGAGGGGACCCUCGGGCCUCUUGCCAUCGGAUGUGCCCAGAUGGGAUUAGCUAGUAGGUGGGGUAACGGCUCACCUAGGCGACGAUCCUUAGCUGGUCUGAGAGGAUGACCAGCCACACUGGAACUGAGACACGGUCCAG
rnacentral:rRNA from 1 species